rnacentral:rRNA from 1 species
CUGCAGCUCAAGUGGUGACCACUAUUAUUGGGCCUAAAACGUUCGUAGCCGGUUUGGUAAAUGCCUGGGUAAAUCGUGUAGCUUGACUAUACGAAUUCCGGGUAGACUGCCAAACUUGAGACCGGGAGAAGCUAGAGGUACUCCUGGGGUAGAGGUGAAAUUCUGUAAUCCUGGGGGGACCACCAGUGGCGAAGGCGUCUAGCUAGAACGGGUCUGACGGUGAGGAACGAAGCCCAGGGGCGCAAACCGGAUUAGAGACCCGAGUAGUCC